rnacentral:rRNA from 1 species
UACGUAGGGGGCAAGCGUUGUCCGGAAUCAUUGGGCGUAAAGAGCGCGUAGGCGGCCCGAUAAGUCCGCUGUGAAAGUCAAGGGCUCAACCCUUGAAUGCCGGUGGAUACUGUCGGGCUAGAGUCCGGAAGAGGCGAGUGGAAUUCCCGGUGUAGCGGUGGAAUGCGUAGAGAUCGGGAAGAACAUCAGUGGCGAAGGCGGCCUGCUGGGCUGUUGCUGACGCUGAGGCGCGACAGCGUGGGGAGCAAACAGG